rnacentral:rRNA from 1 species
GACGAACGCUGGCGGCGUGCUUAACACAUGCAAGUCGAACGGAAAGGCCCUGCUUUUGUGGGGUGCUCGAGUGGCGAACGGGUGAGUAACACGUGAGUAACCUGCCCUUGACUUUGGGAUAACUUCAGGAAACUGGGGCUAAUACCGGAUAGGAGCUCCUGCUGCAUGGUGGGGGUUGGAAAGUUUCGGCGGUUGGGGAUGGACUCGCGGCUUAUCAGCUUGUUGGUGGGGUAGUGGCUUACCAAGGCUUUGACGGGUAGCCGGCCUGAGAGGGUGACCGGCCACAUUGGGACUGAGAUACGGCCCAGAAUCCUACGGGAGGCAAGAGUGGGGAAUAUUGAACAAUGGGCGGAAGCCUGAUGCAGAAACGCCGGGUGCGGGAUGACGGCCUUCGGGUUGUAAACCGCUUUCGCCUGUGACGAAGCGUGAGUGACGGUAAUGGGUAAAGAAGCAACGGCUAACUACGUG